AUGCUAGUUUGAGCGUCUUCCAGCCAUGUGGGAGGCGCAGCGCACAGNNUNAGNNAACACGUGGCUAACCUGCCCUUGGGACGAGACUAACCCCGGGAAACUGGGGAUAAUCCUCGAUAGGUGAAGAACUCUGGAAUGAGUCUUUGCUUAAAAGGCGUUGGAUCAUGCUUUCAGCGUCGCCCAAGGAUGGGGCCGCGACCGAUCAGGUUGUUGGUGAGGUAAUGGCCCACCAAGCCUUUUACCGGUGCGGGCCGUGAGAGCGGGAGCCCGGAGAUGGGCACUGAGACAAGGGCCCAGGUCCUACGGGGCGCAGCAGUCGCGAAAACUUUGCAAUACACGAAAGUGUGACAGGGUCAUCCCGAGUGCCGACCGCUGAGGUUGGCUUUUACCCAGUCUAGAAAGCUGGGGGAAUAAGGAGAGGGCAAGUCUGGUGUCAGCCGCCGCGGUAAUACCAGCUCUCCGAGUGGUGUGGACGUUUAUUGGGCCUAAAGCAUCCGUAGCUGGCUGAACAAGUCCCCUGUUAAACCCACCGAUUUAAUCGUUGGUCUGCGGGGGAUACUGCUCGGCUAGGGGACGAGAGAGGCAGACGGUAUUCCCGGGGUAGGGGUGAAAUCCUAUAAUCCCGAGAAGACCACCAGUGGCGAAGGCUGUCUGCUAGAACGCGCCCGACGGUGAGGGAUGAAAGCUGGGGGAGCGAACCGGAUUAGAUACCCAGGUAGUCCCAGCUGUAAACGAUGCANACUAGGUGUUUGGACGGCCACGUGCCGUUCUAGUGCCGCAGGGAAGCUGUUAAGUCUGCCGCCUGGGGAGUACGAUCGCAAGAUUGAAACUUAAAGGAAUUGGCGGGGGGAGCACAAGGGCG
rnacentral:rRNA from 1 species